AAUUUCUGUUUAAUCUUAAUAGCCUUGGUUAUUCAUUACUGAGCGCAAAGGGAGUAGGAAGAAUUGGAUUGUAUUACUUGAGGCUAACCACAGACAUCUGAAGCCAAACAUUUAUGACUCCCAAUCAGUAAUCUCCAUUCUACCCCAUUUGCUUCUUCUCUUCUCCAUAAAGUUUAUGAUAAUGGAACUCUUCUGAGGCAUUCUGGGUACUGAGAGGUGAAAGGGAACCUGAUGAGAACAUGGAAGAGGCCCCAGCAGGCAAGAACCCAGGUUAAGACCCCUUCCCCCUCAUGAUUCUCCCCAGGCCACGGAUGUUUCUUUAUAGAACCACAGACUCUGUUCUGGAAAUCUCCUCAUCAUUCAUCUCACUGAUAGGCUCACAAUCCAGACAUAUCCAUCCAGACACAAUCUAUUCAGAAUGGGUCUGUUGAAAGGCAGAGAGAGAACACAGGACAGAUGAAGGUAUGUGAUUAUUAAUGUUUUUAGUUUGAUUGAUCAGAACCUUUAAUAUUGCCAAGAGAUCAUUAAAAUUAAAGAAUGACUUCAUUUUAAAGAACCACACAAUACUUUCUCUUGAACAUUACAUUCUUUCUAAUCAAGUAAUUUCUCUCCUUGAGGAAAGCGUUUGGGAACAGUGACUGCUACAGUAGAUUUGGUCUCUGAGCUUCAGAUUCUAUGUCACCUAUAAAUUUGUGUACUUUUUGCAGGCUAGGAAGGGUAAGAAAUGACAGUUUUAUUUAAAAAACCAUUUCUCCUGGAUAGAUAGAGCUAACUCCACACAUGUACCUACAGGCACAUACUCAGGGACUGUUAAACAGCUUCAAAGCAUUUGUGCACUUUCCUCCCUCAUUUAGUCCCUCUUUUUUGUAUCUUCCUUCUCUCACUGUCAUCUGACUAUACAAAAUUUACAAAUAGGCUCUAAUAUCACCAUUCUGAGUGUUCCCUUGAAUCCUCUAGCUACUUUCUAAUUGCUACUCUGCUUUCUUACCCAGAGUUCCAGAAUGGAGCCACUUCUCAGCUCACUGUAAUUCACCUUGUACAUCUGGAGUAAAACUUGACAACUACUCCAUUUCCUUGCCUACUAUAUUCAGUAAAACUUCUA
rnacentral:lncRNA from 1 species